rnacentral:tRNA from 1 species
GCACUCGUAGCUUAGCCUGGUUUAAAGCGCCUCCCUGUCACGGAGGAGAUCGCCGGUUCAAAUCCGGUCGAGUGCG